rnacentral:rRNA from 1 species
AACGAACGCUGGCGGCAGGCCUAACACAUGCAAGUCGAACGCCGUAGCAAUACGGAGUGGCAGACGGGUGAGUAACGCGUGGGAACAUACCCCUCGGUUCGGAAUAACUCAGGGAAACUUGAGCUAAUACCGGAUACGUCCAAGGUUUUAAUCGACCUUGGAGAAAGAUUUAUCGCCGGAGGAUUGGCCCGCGUCUGAUUAGCUUGUUGGUGAGGUAAUGGCUCACUAAGGCGACGANCAGUAGCUGGUCUGAGAGGAUGAUCAGCCACAUUGGGACUGAGACACGGCCCAAACUCCUACGGGAGGCAGCAGUGGGGAAUAUUGGACAAUGGGCGUAAGCCUGAUCCAGCCAUGCCGCGUGAGUGAUGAAGGCCUUAGGGUUGUAAAGCUC